AUCCCUUGGUCGGUUAUGGCUUUGAUGAUACAUUUUCUCCUUCAAUUCCUUCCCAAAAAUGGCAUCCUCAAAUGUUUACUCUUCGUCCGUUACACGGUAAUAUAUACCCAUCAAUGCUUUUUACAUCUGCAAUCAAGAGGAUGUUUUACUAUAUAAAUGGUCAUCAAAUCUGUUGCAAGGGUGUAAACGUAACUUUUUUAGAAAUGAAGAAUCCACCUCUUAUACCACCAUAAUUACUUCACAACCAUUAUGAGAGGAAAAAGUAUGGUAUAUGAAAACUUGCCGUCCAAGUGCAGUGAUUACAUGCUCAAAUUGUUCUCUUCUCCCACCGCCAAGGUAAUCGUCCCUCUCAAUUUUGGUUUUCAUCAUCUCGACUGUAUAAUUAGACAUUUGAACUUUCCCAUUUUGGCUAAAAAUCAUCCAACACGCAUAGCAGCGAUCCUUCCUAUAGCAGGUAAUUUUUCCAUGUUUCUCUCGAAUCUAAGGCUUCUGGAAAAACUUUAACCUCCCAUAAAUCGCAAUAUGAUGUUAUAUGGCUUACCAACAGUUAAUUUACAUGAUUAUAUUUCUGGAAUUUUGAAUGGUAAAACCAACAUUGCAUGAUAUAUUGUUACAUUAUAGUGCAGAUUAUUUUAGAUCGUUUCCAUUAAAAAAAUCGUCGAAACCAUCAUUCCCAUGAUUAUGUAAAUCGAUUAUGUUGACGCAUGCGGGGUAAAGUUUUAGCUAGUGUAUGUGUGGGUUAUCUAUGUGAAGUUUUUCUUUCUUGAUACUGACCUUCAUGUUCUUCAUAAUCCUAUUUUACCACAAUAUCACUUUACGAAUUAGUGGUAAAGUUGGGAAAGAGACAUUAGGUUGAUUUAGGUGGAGUCAUCUAUUUCAAACUUGGCAUAAAGGCUUAAUUUCUCUUUUGUUCUUUUAAUCAUUACUUUGGUUUCCAUUUUGAUUUGAAAUGAAAAAUAAAUAGUUGGUGGAAUGAUCUGUUUUAUCAAAAUGGAAAAUAAAUAAUUGGUGGAAUGAUCUGUUUUGUAUCUGGCACUGGCAAAUUUAAUUUCCAUCACUUUCAACCAAAAUCCUUAUCACCAACAUAUUAUUUACCUUGGCACAACCAAAGGAUUGAUGUACCAGAGAGAGGUAACUUAUAGCACCUUAAUUAUCUAUUUUAUAAAGUUACACUUACAGUCAAUCCCAAUAACAAAUUAUCCCGCAAAACAGAUGUUGUCAAAUAACGGACUGUAGUCCCAACCACAAAGGAAAAGAACCUAUAAGUAUUUUGGUUUCAUAUAUCGAAAGACAUCUCAGCUUCUAUUUUCAAAAUGGGAGUCCACUUACCAAGUAAUCACGCAAACCGCGUACUACAAUAUCCAGCUUUUGCUCAAUGAUGUUUUAGUGUAUUGAAUUGAUUAUUAUUUGUGUAAGCAAUAUCAUUGUGCAAGGAUAACCCUACCAAAAAUUUUGGCGACAAUGGAUGAUACUAUAUGUCUUUCAGAGACUGUAAUAAGAAAGUUUGGGGCGAUGCCUGUUGAUGUACCAAAUGUGAACCCAUAGUUGAAUGUUGCAAACCAGGUGGUUGUUGCGGUUUGAAGUUGAAGAACAAACAGUCUCCUAUGUGCGCAUUCGUGGUACAUUGUUUGAGUAUUAAUUGUUGAACCAAAAUUACAUGUAUUGUUUGUAGGGAGCUUUAAA